rnacentral:rRNA from 1 species
GACGAACGCUGGCGGCGUGCCUAACACAUGCAAGUCGAGCGAAGUGAGUACUACGGUACGAACUUAGCGGCGGACGGGUGAGUAACGCGUGGACAAUCUACCCUGUAGACUGGGAUAACACCUCGAAAGGGGUGCUAAUACCGGAUAAUGUCGAGAAGCGGCAUCGCUUUUCGAAGAAAGGAGAGAAUCCGGUAUAGGAGGAGUCCGCGUCCCAUUAGCUAGUUGGGGAGGGUAACGGCCCACCAAGGCGAGGAUGGGUAGCCGGCCGGGGAGGGGGAACGGCCACACUGGAACUGAGACACGGUCCAGAGUCCUACGGGAGGCGGCGGUGGGGAAUAUUGUGCAAUGGGGAAACCCUGACACAGCAACGCCGCGUGAGCGAAGAAGGCCUUCGGGUUGUAAAGCUCAAUAGUAUGGGAAGAUAAUGACGGUACCAUACGAAAGCCCCGGCUAACUACGUGCCAGCCGCCGCCGUAACAC